UACGUAGGGACCGAGCGUUGUCCGGAAUCAUUGGGCGUAAAGAGCGUGUAGGCGGCCCGGUAAGUCUGUUGUGAAAGUCCAGGGCUCAACCCUGGAAAGCCGAUGGAUACUGCCGGGCUAGAGUUCGGAAGAGGCGAGUGGAAUUCCUGGUGUAGCGGUGAAAUGCGCAGAUAUCAGGAGGAACACCAAUGGCGAAGGCAGCUCGCUGGGACGUGACUGACGCUGAGACGCGAAAGCGUGGGGAGCAAACAGG
rnacentral:rRNA from 1 species